rnacentral:misc_RNA from 1 species
AAAGUCGUAACAAGGUUUCCGUAGGUGAACCUGCGGAAGGAUCAUUAAAAAAACUGGCCGCCCUCGCGGGUGGCCUGAUGGCAACCGGCGACCGCCUUGCGGCGGGAACCGUACGCCUAAACCCUCUGUGAAAAACCCCGGUUGCUUCGGCAGCUCGUCCGGCACCCCUCGGGGACCGGAUGGUCAGCCUGCCGACGGCACUCCAGGAAACCCUUUGCUGUGAGUAAGCUCUCGAACGAGCACCGUCUGAGCGCGAAGUCUAAUGACUAUAAAACUUUCAACAACGGAUCUCUUGGUUCCC